GGCGGGGCAUCGCCGCGCCGGCCGCCAACGGCCACUGCAACGGUCCCUACCGGGGAGGGCCGGCUUUUGCCGGCUUCCGGAGAAGGGAGGAAAGAGAGAGGUUUACCUAACACUGUAAAGAGAACGUUCAAUGAAAUACAAAGAAAAAGAUGAUUUUUUUGCUCCAAGAGAAUUAUUCCAGCCUUGGGGUGGAGUGGGUGUGGACAGUGAGCAGAAAAACAAGAAACCAAGUUCUGGGAGGAAAUAAAAUGAAUAUAAUCAGUGGAAAAUUCAGCAACGCAAUAUUGUGUGACAACAGUAAAUGACCAAUUUAUAAUUUAAAUUCUAUGAAAAAGAGAUUUAGAAGAGAGUUCUACCAAACCCACUGUUCCCUAGGGAAUAAAAUGAGUAACGCUGACUGGCAACAGUGCAUCCUGAGGGAGCCUGGAGAAACAACAGCAGCCUCCGACCUCAAGAUAUCCUGGUUAGCUGCAAAGUCUGUUAUAUAUUCAUUCAAAUAUUUAUUAAGCACCUUACUGUGUGCUGGGAACUCUUAAGUGCUAGGGAUUAUGAACAAAACAUAUUUACAUGGAGCUUACAAUCUAAGUAAGGGGAAGACAAGUAAAUACAUGUCAGAUAGUGAAAUGGUAGAGAAAAGAAAAAACGGUGGUCAGGGAAAGCCUUACUGACAUUUGAGCUAGUACUGAAGGAAGUGAGGAAGAAGGCUAAGCAGCUACCUUGGAGGAGGAAUUUUCCAGGUAGAGGAAACACCAAGUACUAAGAUCUGAGACGGAGUGUGCUUUUUGGGUUCAAGGAACAGCACGGAAACCAUAGUGGCAAGAGCAGAGAGUAGGAGAUGAGGUCAAACAUAUUAAAGGGGGCUGGUCUUGUAGGGCCUGAAAGACCACGGUAAGGACUUUGGCUUUUGCUGCAUUAGAUGGGGAGUCAUAGUUUCAAAAUUUAGUCACCUAAACCAUCCUUAGCACUACGCUGAGCAAUUAUGCCAGGCCUAGAGGCUAGAAACGGAGAUGAUAAUCCUUUAGCUCCUUGCAACUCAAAGUUUAUUCAGCCCAACCUCUCUCACUACCACUAUCACUACUAUCUUGGACUGCAUAGCAGACUUAACUGAAUCUACAUUUUAACAAGAUCUUCAGGAGAUUUGUGUGUACAUUAAAGUUUCAGAAAUCACUGUUUUGUUCCUCGGAAUUGACCAAUGUCUAAAGUUUUAUUGGGAGACAUCCAAUCCAUCUAUGCACAUCCAUUCUAUGACUGCCUCUCUGCCAUAGCACAGCAGAGUUGAGUACUUGGGUGUGCAACAGACAGUAGGGUGUGCAAAACCUAGAAUACUAUCUCUUCUUUUACAAAAAAA
rnacentral:lncRNA from 1 species